rnacentral:snoRNA from 10 species
UUAGCAUCUGAACAGGUCGAGGCCCCUCAAUCGUAGGCCUGGAUUUGGUAGCUGGUGCUGAAAGAAAGUCUCCCUUUUGUCCAAAUGUCACUGGCUCUCAGUGCCGGUUGGAUGUCCAAGGAGGAGAAACAACA